AUGCUACAGAUGCGUGACGUCAUGACCAUUGUCUUUCUGCGAAGUUCUUUUCGUAUAAACCACGUUAUUAUAAACCAUCGCUUGGCACGUUUCCCCGGAGAACUGGACCAACACCAUGUUAUUCUUUGGUGGACGCCAUCUGGUAUAUCAGGCAAAAGUCAUCGUACCCACCCUCCACCCCCAGGCUGGGCACAUUUUACCGUAGACCCGAUAUUGACGGGGCGUCCGAUCUGGCGUGAGAAAGAAGGGCCAGCCAGGCGGGAGGCAGCGGCAGCCCAGAGAUUCCAUCGAAGUGCUCCUGCUCUGACGUGAAAGACGUGGGCCCACCAGACAGAGCCAGGACUCCACCAGGACCCCGCUCGACGUCCACACUGUUUUCGUGGCUCUGCUGUCUGUCAAACGUUUUUAUGGAGAUGCUAAUGGCAGACUCCAGUGUGGGAAAGACAUUUUGGUGACUGCAGGCAUGGUGUGAAUCUCAGGGCCAGCAGAGUGCCCUUAAAUUACUACAGGGAUGGGCUGACCCCUGCUUUCUCAAAUAUGUAUGCCAGUUUUCUACUAAAGAAAUAAAAUGUAAAUGCA